rnacentral:rRNA from 1 species
UAAGGGAAGUCAGCAAAAUGGAUCCGUAACUUCGGAAGAAGGAUUGGCUCCGAGGACCUGGUCGCUCGGGCCGUGUGUGUCGCUGUGCACCCGCGCGGCCGCGUUGCCGUUCGCUCGGCGUCACGCCACCAGGCGCCGGAACACGUCUUCACGCGAAGCGGCGGACCGGUACGGAGCUGUAGCGUUGGCGUCGGACUCGGCAUUCCCUGGUGCCACGGACGAGAUCGCGAUCCAACAAUUCUUA